rnacentral:rRNA from 1 species
GAUGAACGCUGGCGGCGCGCCUAACACAUGCAAGUCGAACGAUUAAAGCACCUUCGGGUGUGUAUAAAGUGGCGAACGGCUGAGUAACACGUGGGCAACCUGCCCCUCUCAUUGGGAUAGCCACGGGAAACCGUGGAUAAUACCGAAUACUUCGGGACUUCCGCAUGGAAGACUCGAGAAAGCUCCGGCGGAGAGGGAUGGGCCCGCGGCCUGUUAGCUUGUUGGUGGGGUAAUGGCCUACCAAGGCAUUGAUGGGUAGCUGGGUUGAGAGACCGACCAGCCAGAUUGGGACUGAGACACGGCCCAGACUCCUACGGGAGGCAGCAGUGGGGAAUCUUGCACAAUGGGCGAAAGCCUGAUGCAGCGACGCCGCGUGCGGGAUGAAGGCCUUCGGGUUGUAAACCGCUUUCAGCAGGGACGAGGCGAAAGUGACGGUACCUGCAGAAGAAGCCCCGGCUAACUACGUG